AUUUUCCAAACCGCUUAUCCUACUGGGUCGCGGGGGUUCCGGAGCCUAUCCCGGAAGCAAUGGGCACAAGGCAGGGAACAACCCAGGAUUGGGGGCCAGCCCGUCGCAGUAUUUCUAGAACAUCAAAUUUAUAAAACAUCCCUGUGCAGUGAGAACAUGGUGAGGCCCAGAGUUGCAAGAAUCGAUGCAGAAGAUGAAUCCAUAUUAUGACUUACAAUGUGAAAACGAUGGAAGCCGCCACUGCGGCAAACAGAUUUCACCGGACGAAAGGGCUCCCAGCCUCCUUAUACAAACUCAAAUGGAUCGUUUUUGACUCGAUUAGCGGCCCCACAGGCCUGUAAAACCUCUUGACCGAACCCGUAUUGAAAACUCCGCUAACACUGAUUUACUGUCAUGUCAUUGACGCUCCGUUCAGAUAAAUACGUCCAGCAGCCAUCCUGGGAAGGACCUUGCAGGAAGUGUCACGAGAAAGGCUGCAAUGUAGGAAUGUUAGGAACAUUUUCUGUGUUUUUUUAUUUUAUUUUAUUUGUUUCUUUGACAGUCAAUGAUAGGAGAGAGUUUGAUAUUGGGGGACACAACUGGAGUCAACACUGGGGGGAGGGAGGGGGGAAUGAACCCCAUACAUCCAUCUAUUUUACAAACCGCUUAUCUUACUGGGUCGCGGGGGGUCCGGAGCCUAUUGGCACGAGGCAGGG